ACUGGAAUCAGCAACUCCCUGGAACUCGGGCCUCUGGCCCCGUCCCUCUUUUCUCCGGCAGGGACGCAGGAUGCCUUGGUGCACUCUAGAGACGGGGACCGGAGGGUGCAGCGCGCCUGGGUGGGGCGAAGGGCGCCGGUCUCCUCACGCCCUCUGACUUUAGGAUACCAGACAGUGUCUCUUCAACCCCACCCCAGGCGCAGGUUUCCAGAAGGCGGGGUGGGUGGGGCCCCCGAUUUCCAGAAGGCGAGUUACCUAGCAGGUGUGUGGGGUGGGCAUUGCUAUUCGGUAAGUCUGUUGCAUGGGGUAGGAUGACGUGGGGAGCUUAAAAGCUUUAAAGCCAGCGCAAAGGUAGAGCUGCGUCUGCUGUUUUUGUUUUUUUUUUUUUUUCCCUGUGUCUGUGGCAAAUUAAGGAGAAAAAUCAAGACGUUCCCUUCAGUCCUCCCUCGGUGUUAACGUCUGCUCCAGCUCGCAGCCCGCUGCUGGGCAUUUUAUUAAUGCUUUUACGAGUUAGAAGAGUUGGGAUAAUUUGCCAUCUGGAGUUUCUCUGCCUUGCUGAUCUGAGCUCAGACCUGCCAAUUUACCAGAGAUAAUUGAUAACACCCUGUAACAGCUGAGAGGAAAAUGGAAGAAACGGAGAUACUUUUAGUGAAGCAGAAUAAACCACUGAACAGAUGGAGUCUCACUCUGUUGCCCAGACUGGAAUGCAGUGGUGUGAUCUCAACUGACUGCAACCUCCGUAUCCUGGGUUCAAGCAACUCUCCUGCUGCAGCCACGAAAAAUGAGGAAGCUGUGAGUACCAGUGGAAGGAACGAGCCAGGAAGAGGGACUGGAACCAUCUCAGAAGCCAUGCCCCUCAGGCUGGAACUUGCCCUGUCUCCUCGCAGAUGAGCUACCUCUUGUGUUUAAGAAUUAAAGGAAGAUGAGCUAGGAAUCAAGAAAUACGCAGAACUGAUUCCUGUCACUGGCGCCACCCUGCCACUUGCCCAGAGCUGUGGUAUAAAUUUUUUUAAUAGGCUGAAAUAAAAAUAUGAAUAGCAUUUUGGUAUUAAGCAUUAAAUUGAUAAAGGCUAUGAGAUACACCUGCUCUCAACCAUGUUAAUUUUUUAUUAUUGGUAUUAAUAAAUUAUUACUUACUAACAUAUUAACAAGAAUUGCAUUGAGAAACAAAGCAUCCACAGGCCAAAUCUUCUGAAUUUCAAAUGUUUAUAUUAAUGCGUUGUAUUCUAGAAAAGUAGAAUUGUCUUAAGUAGCUUUGUAAUAUAAAGUCAUCUAUCAGCCCAUUACACCUAUUAGAAUGUUUUAACCUUUAUUUCCCACUUUUUUGUUUCUAGACUGAGUGUACUUGGUCUGGUAUUUGUGGCAUAACUUACGGAACACAUAAGAAUGAUACAGAUACUAUUUAAUGAUGACCUAAUACAAGCUUAGAUAGCUAAGGUGAAAGCUUCUAUGGCCUUAACAUUUUCCUCUUGAAGAAUGUAUUUUCUGUAAUAAAAUACAGUGGCUACUUGAAAUCUAUAAACUUAUGUGAGGUCUGGAUAAAUCUGAGCAACUUUCUUCUUUGUGCUCCAGGAACCUACGCACUAUAUAUAUAAAUAAAGCUUAAGUAAACAUCA
ensembl:lncRNA LINC-PINT long intergenic non-protein coding RNA, p53 induced transcript